UCCCUGGUGGUCCAAUAGCUAGGAUUCUACACUUUCACUGCUGUGGGCCCAGGUUAGAUUCCUGGCUGAGAAA
rnacentral:tRNA from 1 species